GAUGAAGAACGUAGUGAAAUGCGAUAAGUAAUGUGAAUUGCAGAAUUCAGUGAAUCAUCGAAUCUUUGAACGCACAUUGCGCCCGCCAGUAUUCUGGCGGGCAUGCCUGUUCGAGCGUCAUUACAACCCUCAGGCCCCCGGGCCUGGCGUUGGGGAUCGGCGGAGCCCCCCGUGGGCACACGCCGUCCCCCAAAUGCAGUGGCGGUCCCGCCGCAGCUUCCAUCGCGUAGUAGCUAACACCUCGCGACUGGAGAGCGGCGCGGCCACGCCGUAAAACACCCAACUCUUCUGAAGUUGACCUCGAAUCAGGUAGGAAUACCCGCUGAACUUAUGCAUAUCAAUAAGCGGAGGA
rnacentral:misc_RNA from 1 species